rnacentral:rRNA from 1 species
GACGAACGCUGGCGGCGUGCUUAACACAUGCAAGUCGUACGGUAAGGCCCUUUCGGGGGUCCACGAGUGGCGAACGGGUGAGUAACACGUGAGUAACCUGCCCACAACUUUGGGAUAACGCUAGGAAACUGGUGCUAAUACUGGAUAUGUGCUCCUGCUGCAUGGUGGGGGUUGGAAAGCUCCGGCGGUUGUGGAUGGACUCGCGGCCUAUCAGCUUGUUGGUGGGGUAGUGGCCUACCAAGGCGGCGACGGGUAGCCGGCCUGAGAGGGUGACCGGCCACAUUGGGACUGAGAUACGGCCCAGACUCCUACGGGAGGCAGCAGUGGGGAAUAUUGCACAAUGGGCGCAAGCCUGAUGCAGCAACGCCGCGUGCGGGAUGACGGCCUUCGGGUUGUAAACCGCUUUCAGCAGGGACGAAGCUUUUUGUGACGGUACCUGCAGAAGAAGCACCGGCUAACUACGU